UGGAGUAUAAAAGAAAAGAGAAUGGGCGAAAUCCUUUCGCUAGUGUGGUUGUCUACUGACUGUGUAGGCUGUAUAUAAUCUUGCUACAACUGCUGGAAGUGGGUGACAUCCAAGCCAGCAUGACCUUUGAUAGGAAUUUACUUGUCAUCGUCCAAGGAGUUUUUGCAAUUUGACAAAGGUCACAGGGAAACCUGGAGCCUAUCCCAGGGAGCAUUGGGCAAAAGGCAGGGUACACCCUGGGCAGGGUACACCCUGGACAGGGUGCCAAUCCAUCGCAGGGCACACUCACACACGCACUCGCACAUCCAUUCAUACACUAUGGACAAGUUGGACAUGCCAAUCAGCCUACCAUGCAUGUCUUUGGACUGGGGGAAGAAACCGGAGUACCGGAGGAAACCCUUGCAGCAUGGGGAGAAUGCCGCACACACGGUCACGGUGGGAAUCGAACCCCUGAACGUGCUAACCACUAAGCCACCGUGCGCCCCUGUAUCCUGUGUGCAUAUUUGUAUUGCUUUAACCCAUCGCUCAUUCCCGCCAUCUCACCAAGUUCCUGCCUUUCAACCAUUAGCCUAUUCUCAGCAGACACAAAGCACUGUUGUGUAUGGCAUCAAACAUUUGCUUGACAGUAGCAGUAAAUGGCCGCUAUCCUGACUCAAAACAAUGGCCAUAUAAGGUAAUUUUUUAUUUCAUGUUAUUGUAUAGCUUUGAAUUACAUGACCAUUCAAAUGUGUAAAUGAUGGUAGCAGGUACGCUCAUGGCAUCCAAUAUUUUAUUCCAUGGAUAUUCAAAAGAAUGACAUUCAAUAUAAAACCAGAAUAUGGUCACCCUAUUUUAUUGUGUUUUUUUUUAUGUUGUCAUCUACAUAUUCUAUUUUUAAUAUUUGUUUAAAUUGGAUUUGUGUCUGUGUAUGCAUGUGCAUGGAUUUUAUGCCUUGUAGCAUGUUGACAAAUUAUGAGGCUCACACCAGGCAUUUCAACAUGCAUAUCUCUUGAUAUACUGUACAAAUGUACUGUACUUCAAUUAUUUUAAACAAAAAAUAAAUACCCUAAAAAAAAAGGAGCUUAACAAGCUUUAAAACAAAAAAGAGAGAGAGAAAACUAA